UUGAACGCUGGCGGAAUGCUUUACACAUGCAAGUCGAACGGCAGCACGGGGGCAGCCCUGGUGGCGAGUGGCGAGCGGGUGAGUAAUACAUCGGAACGUGCCCGGUCGUGGGGGAUAACGUAGCGAAAGUUACGCUAAUACCGCAUACGAUCUGAGGAUGAAAGCGGGGGACCUUCGGGCCUCGCGCGAUCGGAGCGGCCGAUGUCAGAUUAGGUAGUUGGUGGGGUAAAGGCCUACCAAGCCGACGAUCUGUAGCUGGUCUGAGAGGACGACCAGCCACACUGGGACUGAGACACGGCCCAGACUCCUACGGGAGGCAGCAGUGGGGAAUUUUGGACAAUGGGCGCAAGCCUGAUCCAGCCAUUCCGCGUGCAGGACGAAGGCCUUCGGGUUGUAAACUGCUUUUGUACGGAACGAAAAGGCUCUGGCUAAUACCUGGGGCUCAUGACGGUACCGUAAGAAUAAGCACCGGCUAACUACGUG
rnacentral:rRNA from 1 species